UCGGGAAUUUUGGGCAAUGGGCGAAAGCCUGACCCAGCAACGCCGCGUGAGGGAUGAAGUAUUUCGGUAUGUAAACCUCGAAAGAAUGGGAAGAAUAAAUGACGAUACCAUUUAUAAGCUCCGGCUAACUACGUGCCAGCAGCCGCGGUAAUACGUAGGGAGCAAGCGUUGUUCGGAUUUACUGGGCGUAAAGGGCGCGUAGGCGGCGCGGUAAGUCACUUGUGAAAUCUCUGAGCUUAACUCAGAACGGCCAAGUGAUACUGCUGUGCUAGAGUGCGGAAGAGGCAACCGGAAUUCUUGGUGUAGCGGUGAAAUGCGUAGAUAUCAAGAGGAACACCUGAGGCGAAGGCGGGUUGCUGAGCCGACACUGACGCUGAUGCGCGAAAGCCAGGGGAGCAAACG
rnacentral:rRNA from 1 species